AUUGAACGCUGGCGGCAUGCCUUACACAUGCAAGUCGAACGGCAGCACGGGAGUAAUCCUGGUGGCGAGUGGCGAACGGGUGAGUAAUAUAUCGGAACGUGCCCAGUCGUGGGGGAUAACGCAGCGAAAGCUGUGCUAAUACCGCAUACGAUCUCUGGAUGAAAGCGGGGGACCGUAAGGCCUCGCGCGAUUGGAGCGGCCGAUAUCAGAUUAGCUAGUUGGUGGGGUAAAGGCCCACCAAGGCGACGAUCUGUAGCGGGUCUGAGAGGACGAACGGCCACACUGGAGCUGAGACACGGUCCAGACUCCGACGGGAGGCAGCAGUGGGGAAUUUUGGACAAUGGGCGCAAGCCUGAUCCAGCAAUGCCGUGUGCAGGAUGAAGGCCUUCGGGUUGUAAACUGCUUUUGUACGGAACGAAACGGCGAGCUCUAAUAAAGUUUGCUAAUGACGGUACCGUAAGAAUAAGCACCGGCUAACUACGUGCCAGCCACCGCAGUAA
rnacentral:rRNA from 1 species